UUUUUUGCUUGAAGAAGAUUUGAUGGUGUUAAUUGACCAAUGCUUCAGCCUAGAACACUGGUAUUGUAGUGAUAUGCUUGCUAGCGUAGUUCUUGGAAAUUGAGUUAGCGACUAAAUAGGAACAAAUUUCAGCCAAGGUUCCGUGCACUCCUUGGGCUCAUGGUAGUUUUAUAUUUGAGAAGUAUGAUAUGACGGACGAAAAGGUAUAAAUCUGUAAAAUAGAGCUUGGGACACAGAAAGACGGUGGCAACCACUAUAGCACAUUUAGACUUAGAAAGACGGUGGCGGCCACUAAUCCAUUACUGAUAUUGUAUUCGAACUUUUACUAAUUUGAAAUCCACCUGCUUCCUUGCUUUCUGUUUACUUUCAGUUGUCAUAUGAUUUAUACCGUUUGAAACAGGAAGCCAUUCUGAAAUGGUAUAUUUGUUGUAUUGAAGGUUGCCCGAGAUACUUUCCCAAAAGAAUGAUGCUGCUCUUGAGAUCCUAAGAGGUAAAUGUUCAGUUCAUAUUGUUGUGAAAGCAUAUAUAGAUGUGUUGAACUUCCAUGAUACACCAAAUAUGCUUUUGGUCUAAGUAGUUUAGGAUAUUAUGUUAAACAAUUUCUUCUAGAAUUUAAUGAAAAAACUAUUGUUUUUGUAACAAAACUGAUGUAUCAUGU
rnacentral:lncRNA from 1 species